CUACGGGAGGCUCCAGGCGAGAAAACUUUGCAAUGUGCGAAAGCACGACAAGGUUAAUCCGAGUGGUCUCUGCUAAAGGGACCUUUUGACAGUCCUAGAAACACUGUUGAAUAAGGGGUGGGCAAGUUCUGGUGUCAGCCGCCGCGGUAAAACCAGCACCUCAAGUGGUCAGGAUGAUUAUUGGGCCUAAAGCAUCCGUAGCCCGCUUUGCCAGUUUUCGGUUAAAUCCAUAUGCUCAACAUAUGGGCUGCCGGGAAUACUACAAAGCUAGGGAGUGGGAGAGGUAGACGGUACUCGGUAGGAAGGGGUAAAAUCCUUUGAUCUAUUGAUGACCACCUGUGGCGAAGGCGGCCUACGAGACAAAGUCCGAUGGUGAGGGACGAAAGCUGGGGGAGCAAACCGGAUUAGAUACCCUAAUAGUC
rnacentral:rRNA from 1 species